ensembl:lncRNA
CCUUAACGUGCUGCCAGGGAGGGGGAGGGGGGGGGGGGUUCUAAAAGGGGCACAGGUGUACUGCUGAGGACACGGUGCCGGCGCUGCAGAAAUGCUGUCCCUGCAUGCACUGUAAGGCUCCAAAAACGACCAGAGAUAGAAAGUGAGCGUUCUGUAGCCUUGUAUUUUCUCCUAAGGGCUUUUGGCUGAAGUGUGCGAGACGUAACUGCGUGUGGAAAGUCAUCUCUUGCACUUGACCGGCUGCUUGUUGCCUGGCUUAGAAUGCAUUUCAUGGUCAGUGGAAAAAAAUGAGGAAGAGGAGGGUGUGGCUGCUGCUUAGAGAAGCUGGCUGUGCAUGCAGGGACUGGCUUUGGGGUUGUGAUCCUUCAACCUCACAGAAGGAAGACUUCUCCUAGGUAAAAGAGAUUUUUUAUUUUUAUUUUUUAAUAAUGAGAAAUCAAGUAGGCAUGUAAUCCUGUUAUUUUUAAAUCCUUACUCAUUAAUCUCAUAUUAAUGCAUAUUUUGAAAGGAUGGUCAGUUCUCACAGUUGUUGAGUUUGAUGGCAUCUUUAAUUGCGUCUUGCUUUGCCCCAGAUUUCUUGACUCACUAAUCAUGACAAAACCCACAAAAACUAGUUGCAACAUUUUUAGUCUAGUAAGGAUAGUGCUUUGAUGUUUUCUUUAUUGAGAAUAUCCACCACGGGACUGAUCUUGUAGACUCUAAAGUCUAUCUGUAACCAGUUCUUAAUUUCUGUGCAGAAUGCUUCACUGUUAGCCCCUGCAUCGACAUGGAUACACUUAGAUAUUUUCUUCUGCAGUUCCUUCUGUUACGAGUGAAACUACAUGAUCACAAAAGGUUGGAAUGAGACUUAGAAUAUUUUAAAGUAAAAAUUCUUGAGGAGUGAGAUCUUGACAGUGUUUCUAGUAAAAGUGUGCAUAUCUUGCUUACACUGACUAUAAGGUCUAUUUGUUGAUAAUACUUAUUUACAUUCUUAAUAGAUGUUAAACCUCUUUUCUUCUGCAGGGACAACGUAUUAUCACUGUGUUUAUUCCUCCCCUGUAGCAAAUGUUAUUUAAGUAUUUUGAAAAUGCGUGGCUUUUGUUGAUGCUGUGAGUGAAAGUGGAGCUGCAGAAACUUCUUCAGUAGUUUAACCACUCACAGGUGUGGUUACAGAAUCUGUUCCCUCAUCUCCUGUCUUACAUUUGAGCUCAUCAUCUCAUAAUUAUGUAUCCUUGUUCUCCUUUGAAGAGCAGCAGCGUGUGGGUUGUGGUGAGGUAUUAUCGCAUUUUGGGUGAAUUGUUAGCCACAAGACUGAAGGGUAAGUGUAGCAAACCACCACACAAGUGGCAAUAUCCCAGCAUCUGACACACAUCUUGGAAUCUCUCAGAAUUAUUAAAUGAGUUUUACAAAUAACGAUGUGUGGAUGGGGAAAAAAGAUAAUAAAAUAAGGAAACGCAUUUGUAUUGUGAAGCAGAAUCUUGUAAGUUUUUCCUAAUUAUUUAAGGUGAGAGGAAAAGCAGGUAGCAAAAAAUACGUGCUUCCAAGUAUUUUUGUGAAGUUUGAGAAAUGCAUUGGUAGCACUGCAUCAGGCACAGCAGCUAACUUGGAGGAUAAAUUAUUUCAUUCUUACCACACUGUAGUAGGGGUGGGAAGAGGUUUUGGGGAUCAUUGUUUUUGACCAUAGCAAACAUUUAAAUGUAGAAAUUACUGCACUGGAUUAGAUCUGCAGUCUAAUGCUAAGUCUACCCAGACCGUUCUUACAAAGGGUUGGUUGGUAAGAAAAUGCAGGGCAAAAACAACCAGCAUUUGAUCCUUCUGGAAUACCCUGUCCUUGUCAGAAAAUAGUCCAGCCAGAUACCUUGGCCAAUGGCUUUGUUACAGGUUUGUGCAAGGGUAUUUCCAGCAAACGAUCCUAUUUAAUGUUACAUUUCUGUAGGCUGUGCAUAGAACAGUAUUCUUUCAAAGUCUCACUGAUGUCCCUUAAUGAAGAACUGUGGCACUGAUUUUCACAUGCUUACCUACACUUAGUAAGGUAAUAUAUUUCCAUAGUUUUAAUGCUGCUCAUUUAAUUUUACUGCGUGCUCUCCUGUUGAACACUAUACGCAAAAAAGUACAGUUCUGACUUUCAAAGUGUGCAUCUCUGUCGUGUCCCCUGUUGCUCAUGUGCUUGUUAACAUCAUCACUUUGUCAUGUUACAUGGCAAUCGUCUCGAGAGCCAGAUCGUUUUGGUCACCUGCCCUUACACUCAUGUUCUGUGGUUUUAAUGAGGUAAGGUAAAAAGAACUGUAGACAGCCUUCUUCUUGAAGGUAUUUCCCUGUCAGGUACCCACUGGAAGCAUAGUUUCUGUGAUUUUUUGCAUGUGCUGUUAAAAUUGUCUUUUUUCUUGACAGUACUGUUGAAUUGUUGUGAUGGCACCCCGAUCUUUUUCCUUUGCUGAGAAUGUUGCUAUGCAACUUACUUAAUAAGUACCAAAAAGUAUUUAUCAUGUUGUUUCAUACUCGUUUAACUUUGUUAAAUUUCUUCAGUAAUCCAAAUACACUCCAAGUGUCAAUUUUGCCACUUUGUUUUACAAUUAAUUUUUCCCAGACUACUAAAUAAUGUUAAAAGCUGAUGCAAGUGUAACUUCUGCAUACAAUUACUGUUAAUCUUUUUCUUCUUAAGUGCCUUUUUUAUCCCUACAUUUUGCUUUGGGCUACUUAGCUCAUUUUUAAUCAUGAGCCUAAAUUUUGGUCACAAUUGCUCUGUUUUCUUUAUGAUCUUUGAGUCACUAUCAAAGCCCUUUUGAAUGGCCAAGUAAAUAAUAAUUUCACCUGCAGAUCCACUCCAAUAUAAAAAGAUGUAUUUUUCAUUACGUUAGCUGUAUUGUUUUUCUCCCCAUUCUGUAACCUCUUCUUAGACAUUCAAGUUAACAUAUUUUCAAGUAGCCUUCCAACCAUUUUAUUAAAUGCUAGAAUUCAUUGGCAUGUAAUGUGGACUAUUUCUGUGGCUAUUUAAGGAGUACCACUCUUUCAUUCCAGAUAGAAGAAUGCAUUUUCUUUUGGUUGGAAACGCUGAUUUUAACCUUGAGCAGCCUGUCUUGUCUUUUAGUUUCUCCAGUUAUUUCUGCACUUUCUGUUUUCUUAUCUGCUGCUCUCUUGCCCUUUACUUGCAGAAGAAGAGAUUAACGAGAUGUAAUCUGCCGGGUUCAGAAAAUACAAUUUAAUCACUUUGUUAGUACAAACCUUUUUCAAUGGUUUCCACCUGCUCUAGGCCUAAAAAGAAGUUGUUCUUUUUAAGAUAAAGGCUGCCUCUCAGUCUGUUUGGAUUUCUGGACAUUGAGAGGAGUGGUCAGUAUUGUUCCACCCAGAAAAAAAUUGAUCUGUGCAAGAACUUUGUGUCACAGAGUGACAUUUCCUCCAGCUGUUUUCCUGUUCCAAGAGAAGAAACGUCUUAUUCCAUAACUUCUUGUAGGGUGGUUUUACUUCCCAUUUUGGAUUUACAUAUUGCUGUUGGCUGGAGUGAAAGAAAAAGAACUGGAGAAUGAAGGACAUGCAGGCUGAAGGAGGUGUAUAGUCUUGCAUUUCUUCAGGAGGGUUAGUGGUUGUAGAGAUUUUUGUUUGUUUUUUUCUUAAUAUAGCUCUCAUCAGGAACCCAGCUAUCAAGAAAUGUUAACGUGGCCAUAUAUACGAAAAGUUGAGUUCACUCUUUUGCAUGACUAAAGACCUCAAGGUCAUAAUCAGCCAUUAUCUUUGUUGCAGUUUUUCUUCCUCUUUAUUCACUCCUUUUUUUCCCCCAAUACUAUUUCAAACCUACCAGACAACUGUUGUGCAGUCUUCUUGCUUUUACUGUAUGUCAAUAAAUUGUCUUUAUGUCUUUGAUUCCUUGGUUCAGUCCUUAUGCUUCUAAUCCCAGUUUUAAAUACUACUUUGUAAGUACAUUCUUAGUUCUAUUAAUUUCAGUUCAGUGCUUUUUGUUUUUGAAAAAAGGUACCUCUUUGCCUUGACAUAUGUAAAGUUUUUCUCAGUACCCAGUUUGCCCUUGUCCACGUACUUCUUCUGUGUUUAGAGAUUGUUUCCCUUUAUUUUGAACCGAUACUCUAUGCCUGCAUAAUCUUUCAUGCAUAAAAGCAGAGUGUUCCCAUUUAAGUCAAUGGGAAGAUCUGAUAAACAUGCAACGAGACAAUGUGUUACUGGAUUUCCCAGUAGGUUAUUUUAAAUACCUGUUGUAGAUUUUUUUUUUUUUUUCCCUAAGAGCUUGUUUUGCUAAGGACGUUGACUUUUUUAAACUUAGUUGUCUGUCAGUACUUUCCAACUCCAGUGUUCUUUCUUUGACCCUUGGUGCAUUAAAAAGCCCAAUAUUUUUCUUCUAGAUUUUGAGGAAUAGCAGUCACUGGAAACUGUGUGAUUAGUUUCAUACAUUCUAGACAAAGAAGUGGAGAGGUGAGAAAUGCAGGGAGUUGUCCUGAGUGCCAGUCAUUCACCUACCUGCAGUGGGCAUGUCACCCAUUUGAUGCCAACACGUAGUCUGGAAGUUUCUUUUAUUUUGUCAGCCCUCUGGGCUAAACCUCAUGCUUCCUGGCGGCAUGUGCAUGCUACAGAGGCAUCUUCCUUUCAGUUUUCCUGAUGAUAGUCUCUUUCCCUCUCUUCCUACUGGGGUAAGGAAAGACCAGAAACAGCAGGAACAAGGAACAGCGAGGGUGAGCGAAGGAAGCAAUUAUUUUUGCAAACAGAAAAUACAGUAAAGCAAAUAUAAUGUUAUUUAUUUUGGAUUCUUGAUUUCAUUUCUCUCUUCAGAUCCUUAUAAAACAUAUUGAAAUUCACGGGUUCCUGCUAUGAAGAAGCUUGCAAACAAGGAAAGUCACUUCUCAGGUGUCCUGAGGAGGAACCUUUCGCAUCCUGCAUGUUGCUUGAGGAUGCAUGGCAAGCAGAAGACAGAGGAAGGGGCAUGCUGUCUGGGUAUAAUGAGACCCCCAGAUUGCUUCAUCUGGAAUGAGACACUUCAAGUGUUAAUUCCUGUUGCUAGACACUAGAAAGCUACAUGUAUUAUUAUGGAUCCAAAAUAUGUUAAUUUGCACAAAUUAUCUAAGAACUGGAAGACACCCUUCCUCCUAUCUCAAAUAGUUAAUCUAGAUAACUCCUGUACCCUGCUGGUUUAGGACUUUGUUUUGGAGCCUGGCACUCCUGGGCCUCCUUAGAAAGUCUGCUGACAUGGGUAAUCUAGUGCUCGCUUUCAACUGCAUCUAGCCCAUGAGGAGUCUGUCUGUGGUACUAAGCUCCCUGCUCCAAAGACUUUGGUCAGCAUGGCACCCCUGCCUGGCCUUAAUCAUAUUCUCUUCUGGAGCCCCUAGCAAUGCUUAGCUUCUUCAGAAGUGCACCUGCCUGAUGGUAGAGGGGAAGAUAUUUUAGUGUAAGCCACUCAAUUCACAUGCUCUUUUCCUCCCAUCCUGGCUGAGUAACUGGUGUUAACACUUAGAUCCUGGUAAGCAGUAUCACCACAGAUAAGGAAGCCUACACAUGAAGCCUUGCUUCUGUUGAUAAAUCUCAUAUUAAUAAUAUUGUCCCAGGAUACUGUAAACGAGUUGCUAACAGAAAGCUUAACAGCAAAAGUAAGUGCUUAUUUAACCUGAUUAAGCCCAGAUAGUGGCAUGCAUCAUUUCUAAUAGGCAGCAUAUUUUUCCUUUAUUUUCCUCUGUUUCUUUUUUACCAGUGAAAAAUCCUGGAGCUGGCCAUUAUGUUCUCCAGCAUCAGGUAUUUUUCCUGCAUAUUUGUAUACUGUGAAAUAUUUUAAGAUUUACAUUUAUGAUAUCUACAAAAUAUUACAGUUUUUAAACUGUUUUAAGACCCAAACAAUAUUAUAAAUCAGCUUAGAACUUUCCCAGAAAUGUUGAAAACAAAGCAUUCUGAGGUGGUAGUUUUCACUUGAAAUGUUUUGAUAACUUCAAAACAGUUCAAUAACUGUGCAGCAAUUAGCCUGGUUUUGGGAGGAAGACUACAUGGAUUUUGUAUGUAUUUUUGCUCAGGAAAUAAUAUGCCAUUGAGCCUUGGCGGCUGAAGGUGUCUCUAUGUUUGAAGAAGUGGAAGAAAAAAAAAGAAAAAGUGGAAUGAUUUAGUGACUGAAGAGAGUUGCCACUUGCAUGAGCUCCAUCCCUGGGGAUAUGACCUUUUUAAUCCUCUUUAGUUAAUGUAUUGGUGAUCUUUACUUAGGCAGAGUAAACAGUGCUGUUGUGAACAAAGGGGAGGUCAUGCUUCCUGCAUUACACUCUGACCCCGGGGUCACGGCCUUUGUUCCCCGCUCAAUGGGAAUUGCUCUCCAAGGGCCACCACAAAAUGGAGAACUAAUUUCGGCGCGUGCUGGCGGAGAAUGGCAGCAUACCGGAGGAGUGAAGGCCUCAGCUCCCUGCUUGCUGGUGGCCGCCGCGCCCGGACCUCACUGAGGAGAGCGCGCAGCUUGGGCCUGCCACCACAGGGAACUAGAUCGUGCUGCGUGCUGUCUUUACUCGUUUUUCUUUUUUUUUUUCCUCUUUUUUUUUUUUUUUUUUUUUUAAUUCCCCCCCAGCUCUUACUAGACUUUUCCAAGGGAAGAAGCAAUAUGUGAGAGAAAAUGGCGGGAUUUUUCUCUUCUAAAAGAAAAACGCUGUGGCAAUCGCAGCAUUGAACUUGGGCCUCCAAGGUCAUAGCUGCGUCUCAGAGUAUUACAGUUGACAAGCGCUGAAAUUCAGCUUGUAAGGAAACGUGAUGCUGUGUCCCAUCAGAUUGUGUUCGUCACCUUUUUCACCGCAUUCUACCAGCACUGCAUGACAUAAAUAUACACAUACAGAAAAUGUGAAGCCAGAUAUGAUAAUUGAGGGGUACAAAGCCAGACUGAGCUGGGAAUUUCUCAUUUAUAAUUAAUUCUAUGUUAAAAAGAAACAAACUGGUUUGUUGGGUGGGGUUUUUGUUUGGCUUUAGAAAUAACUGGUGGCACAAUGUGAUGCAUCUCGUUUUUAUUUGUUGUGACCACUGAACAUUCAUAAACGUUAUAUCUGAGAUAAAUUAUUUGGAAAAUUCACAAUAGAAAACCAUCACAUUUCACUGAAAGAUGUUUAUUAUUUUUCAUUUCUACAUGCUUUUCUUUGCUCAGCACUAAAAUCUAUGAAAUGAUAGAUCAUAAAGCAAUUACUUGAACUGCAAACAUAUCUUCAGUCAAAAUACUUCUUUUCCACCACCCUUCCUUCUAUCCAAUGAAAAAAAAAAAAAGAAAAAAAGCUCAUAAUUGCUGAUGACAGGCAAGCAGUGUAAAACCCAGCAGGGUAAGCAGUGAGCACAGGUGGCCUGUAUGUGAACAGGGAAACUCACAACAGUGCCAUCACAGAAAUAAGUAAUACUAUGGUACUAAGCUUUGGGGCUCCAUAAGACUGUGAUCAUAAAUGGAUGUAAACACAGCAUCAAGGUAAAAAUGUGCAUUACAGUAGGUGUCAGCUCUUGGGCAUUUCAGGGCAUACUGAUUUUUAUUUUUCCCACUUUUUAUGCCACAAUAAAUCCCUGAAGGACUACCAUUUUGGUGUAACAGAUUUCAGAGUGGGUUUUCCUUAUGGCUUAGGGAACAGCACUGCUAAUACCGUUUGCUGCAGUGUCCACAUGCAUGUUUCUUACAGCUCCUUUUAGGCUGCUUCAGAUUACACGCUGAAAUAUGGUUUUACUCAAUACAGGGUACUGUAAUUGUCUUUUCUGUGAGACAGCAGUCUUUUCUGUUUCUGUCUCUCUUUCUCUUCAUUUUAAUUUGUUUACUUGGCAUUCCAGACAUUUCAAUUAAAAAGUUAACAUCUUUCUCUUAUUUUAUUUGCUGUUUAAACAAACAUUUCCAGUUGUCUACUUGUAGAUUUAAAAAUGUAUUCUGUAAUAUAGCAAAAUAAUUAUUUAUUAUUAAAAUAUUAAUAAAAUAACAUUUUAAAAAGUGGCCAAGCAACUCCAAUGUCAUUCCAUUUUAAUGAAAGCUUGCAUUUAAAGCUGAGCCAAGCAAGAAGGGCACAAAGUUAGUAUGUCAGUAGCAAGGGACACUGAAUACAGCAAUACUGAAAUAGACACUCCUGUUUCCUUUAUUCGUUACUUGAAAUUCGCCAAGACUACUUGCUUUACAUUUUAAUAGAAGACAGAGGGGAAAGCUAUGCUUACUAUAUCUACUAUCCAAUAAAGAUGAUAAUGUCAGGUUAGCAUGUGUAUAUUAUUCACUUAUGUUCAUUAGCUAAAACUAGUACAUAUAGUAAUGAAAAUACGAGGUCCAUCCACUUCACCAUGUGUUCUUCAGUACUGGUGUUGCUUUUUUGUUACCUGCAGGAUUAAAACACUAAACAAAGUGUCAAGGCAAUGUCUGUUGCAUUUAUUUUUCUUGUGGGGUUGAUUUUUGUGUUUUUGUUUUCAUUUGCUUUAAAGCAUUGAUGGGGUUGUGCUUGCUCUGGGGCUGAAGAGUUAUAGGACAGUUUUAAAAUGUGGAUAGCUGCUUAGAUGAAAAUGAAAAUGAAGGGAACAUUCCACUAAUUUUCAAAUUUUAAAAUACUUUUUCCUCAGAAAAAUACUGGAACCUUAUAAAAACGCACUAUGUGUCCAUAUGAAAGGAAAGCUAUUUUUUCUCUGUGUUAAAUACUUCAACAUACAAUAAGAUAAUAUGGUAGUAAAAGUGCUACUUCUAAAAGCUUCUUACUGAGUGGAGCCUUUAUGAGAUUUUCUGCUUUGGAUAUAUUUGAGUAUAGACUCUCAAGGUAUUUGUAGCAAAGACAUUACCCCCACCCAACUUACUGCUUAUUUAAUCAUCUUAUUUAAAACAACAACAACAAAACAGUUUGAAAAGAGCUUUGUCCCAGGCAAAGUUUGCAUGAAAAGAGUAAGCGGGGCAUAGUCUAUUUUACUGUGUCAACGUGAGUCCUCAGCAUUACUGCUUCUGUGAGUGAUUUUUCCAGUUAGUAUACGUGAUAAACCCAAACAUUGUUUUAGUCUUUUCAAGACCUUUCUUAUUUCCUAGACAAAGAUGCUACUGAAAUUAGGAAAUCAGAGAAGUGAACUCCUGCAUUACUUUUUCUUAACUUGCUUUAUCAGAAUUGUUUCCAAAUGUGACUCCUGAAGUGAAGACGAAGUAAGAACCAUUCACACUGAAAAGCAUUUCCCCCCAGUUAAGCAACCAUUACACACAUGCCUGUUCUGCCUUGAAUAUUAAGCUGUUUCUAUUACAAGCAGAUUUUUCUGAUCCUUUGGACAAUGGUUUGCUCUAUUUCUAAGGGGAGAAGAAAUAAAAAGUUAUAAAGCUAUCCUGUAGAGCAUGGUUUUGGUCAGGCUUCACAUGUAAUUCCUGAAUCUAUUCUUUUUUUUUUUUUUUAAUUAUUGAUUUAACUUUUUUCUAAAUACCAGACUGACAGAUGAAUGGUUUAGGGCCAUUGUAACUCGACAACAGCCAUUUGAAGUAAAUGCUUAUUUGCCCAUGUUGACUUCAGGUAAAGUCUCUUCUUCUGCCUCUUUCCUUUGAGUACUUAGAUUAAAAAAAACAAAACAAAACAAAACAACACACUGAAGUUUCAAAGUGCUGCAUGGCUACAGAUAGCUGUGUAUUGUACAGUUACAUAUAUGGGUUUCAAUACAAGAAAAUACAAGACAAACCUCAGUUGCACCUGUAAAAGUAAAAAUGGUACUUUUCUGUGGCACUGCAUUGUUACCUUUUUCUGCAGCAUGAGAAUAUCAUUCUUAUGCUUUCCGCAGGCGUUAUCCACUUUGGACACAGAAAUGUGUGACAGCCUCAAAAUGGCGUUCUCUGCUAGGGAAACGCAAAGACAAAAGCUAGAAUCACACAGUAGUUCCAGCACAAAAUGAUCUUUUCCAGUGGAUUACAUUUCUCAGCCUGAUUAAGGUUUUGGCCACUUGCUGGCCAGUAAAAGGUGAAUGCUCAUUCUGUAAAUCCGAUAUUCCUAUAAAAAUCUUCCUCUGUACGUAUGGCAUAGCCAUUUGCUAUCCGAGCAUGUGUGCAAGUACUGUAUUAAAGCAAAAUUGUGUUUUACGAAUCCCCACAAUGAAUCUCAAGUAUCUGUUUGCUUUCCCUUCUGUGCUGAAAACUCCUAGUGCUGCCAACUGAGUGCUGGAACAGAAUUUUGGUUUGUGUGUGCUGUGCUUUAUUAGAUGAAAUACCCGAUCUUUAUGGCCGUUUUCCUAAUUGUUGCAGGUCUAUUAAGGGAAUGAGGUCUUAAAUUCAGGUAGUUACAGAGCAGUUAGUUAGUUGUACUUGUUUUCUGAAUGUAGUGAUGAGUCGUUACAAUAAUGCUGAAGGGAUAAAAUUGCUGUUGAUGCAGUACCAAAUAUUUCGUAUAGUUAGAUACUUUAUAGCGUUCUCUAAAUGCCAUGUUUAUUUGUAUAACUAGAACAAAAAUGUCCUAAACAGUAUCUUCCAAGAUUUUCCUGUUAUUCAAAUGUAACCCUUUAUUAGUAAUCUUCAGGCUGAGUUAUUAACGUGAUUUAUAUUAUGCAAUUUUAUGUAAACCAAAUAUUAAUGUACAGUCUUGCUCUCACAGUAUUCACACUCACUGGACUGUACAUACACAUGCAUUUGAUAUGUAUGGUCCGCCAUGUUACACACAGCACACGUGUGUGCACACACACGCCGAGGAGCUGAAGUAUAUGUCAAUAAUAUAAUUGUUGGGGGAAGAGAAGAUUGUUUCUGUUUCUUAUUGCUGAAUGAUGGAAGGCUUUCCAAUUUGAGUGUCUGGCUUAAAAAGUUUUGAAAAGCAGAUGUAUUUCUAAUUGAGUCAGGCAGAGUCUCGCUGUCUUGUUGCCAGGAGACAAAAGGUGUCACGGUCUAUUUUUUUCCCCCCUUCAUGAUUUUCUUAUUAAGUUACUCGCUGCACUAGAAAAAACAUUAUACAGUUCUCUUGAAUUUUUUUUUAGUGAACCAAGAAAAACUCAUUGUGUGGCAUUUGCACGCAGUGUAAUGUUGAUAAUAUGCUCUGAGAGUCAACUUAAGAGUUGACCUUGUAAGAUUUCAUUGCUUUUAUCAUCCAUCUAAAAUCUCUAGUAAAAUGCCCUGACAAAACAUGGUUAAGUUUGGGAGUUGAAACUUCCAUGGAUUCAUCACCGAUAUCCCCUGGGAACUUUCAGUAUUCAGAAAAGGAAGGUGUUUUUAAACACCUUAAAAAGCAGUUCAGUAAGAAUAUCUGGAAGUGGUUUUUCAUUACUUUUACAUUUUUUUUUUGGAGAUGCUAGCGUUAUCAUUCACAUUGUACUUCUUGUGUAGGUAGCAUAGAAAAACCACAGGGAAUAUUUUGCUUUUAGGAAUGUUUUAGCUUUGCAGUGCUGCAAUAAGCUUUGUUAAAAUAAUGAGUAUUAAAUUGUGGCAGACAUUUAGCCAGUAUGGGUGCUGAUUAAUCUUUCAAAAAGUAAAAAAAGUGAGAAAUUAUACAGAAAGAUUUUUUGCUUUCAGUACCCAGAUGACACAUGCUUUUUAAAAAUACUUUGCAUUAUAUCCAAGGCCAACGUAAUAUAAUGUAAAGGUCCCUUCUUUCUGGACAAUCAUAAAUGGUUCGAUUCAGAGGUGCCUUUCUGAACCGAGGCCUUGCAGCUCCAACUGCCUGUGAGCUCCACAGCCAAAACUGCACUGCUGCAGCUGCUGUUGGUGGAGUUCGCUUGGGCUUCCCCAGUGCGUGCUUCAUCAUUCAGUGCAUUGUCCACAGGGUGUCUCUGAGAGAGGGAUAGCAGUCCAUUCACAUUUUCUAAAAUCCUUUAUGUGUAUUCAGUCAUUUUUGUCAAAUAUGAAAUGUGUGUGUGUGUGUAUAUACAUACAUAUAUAUAUAUAUACAUAUAAGCAGAAUGCUUAACUGUAUCUGUGUAUGGGAAUAAAAAUUUCUAGACAAAGGAAAUACAGAAUCAGAUGUAUGUGUGACAUUUUGUUUACUAAAGCUGAAAAACAGCAGAAUACCGUUAAAGCCGAAUAUGUAAAUUUAGACAUCCUUUCAAAAUGUAGGAAGCCUGGUAAUGAAUACAAGUGUGACAACUUUGGUAAGUAUAACAUGACGUGGGGGAGAAAUGAUUCCCAGGAAGACAGCUCACGGAAUACAAGUUUUAUAAAGUACUGAAUUGAACGUGGUGUUAUUUUUUCUCAACUGCAAUCUAUACUUGCAAUUAAUAUAAAGAAUAUAAAGCCUGUAUUAUCUGUACAGAUAAAUGCAUUAAUAGAGUUAUUUAUACCAUUGUUAUUCUUUUUUAUGAUAAUAAUUAUGAGUCAAUAUUGUUCACGUUAAGAGGGUUUUUUUUCAAGAAGAGGGAUUUAAAUGCCAAUACACUCUGUUACGCUCUGAGACUCAGCCAGCCAAGCUAGACAGAUGAAUCUAAGAUGCACAUGAUUUGUUAUAUAUUUUAUUUUUAAAAGGUUAAAGAGAAAUAUUUAAUUGAACUGUAAAACUGAAGUUGGCUAUGUAAAAUAGGUAAGACUAACAUUCAGCUCAUAGAUGGCUAUGAAUUCACUAUCUGCAACCAAUUUGGGUUAAAUCUCUUCAUGUAUACUAAAUAAUUGCAACUGUGCUACGAAUGUGUCAUCGCAAUGGACAACCCUUUCUAUUUUCUUCCAUUGUGUGUGAAUUUGUCACCUUACUAACAUUUCACUGCAAAAAAAAAAAAAAUAGACACAAAGCAAUUUCUGUGGUACGUUCUCCUUUUUCUUCCCACUACAAUUUACUUUGUAGCACUCCAUUGUAAAACAGAUAAAAAACAGAGCCUCCUCAUACAAAACUUGGGCACCCGACAACUCUUGCCUAGCUGAAAAGCCUAGGAGUAAUUUGCAAUAUGGAGGUAUUUUAAUGCCCUGUUUUGUGGACCGAAGAAAUGACAGGUUUUCAUGGCAGAUUUCAGUAUGUCUAUCUGCUUACUUUUUGCAGCUUACUAUUCUCUAAAAAUUAACAUUUUUAUAAUUUUUUUACAAGGUGAUAUUUACUUUCUUUUUUACAUAUACUUGUAUUUUAAUUCUCUCACUCCCCCCCCUUUCUCCCCUAGUAGCUAUUUCUUCAGGGCAUGCAAUUUUAAGCAGACCUGCCCAUUUGAAUAAACAGGGGUGUGUUUUAAAAUCCAAUAGCUUGUUGUAACUCUGCGUUCCUAGUGAAAUCAGAAGAAAAGUAGUGCUGGAGCAGAGCACUUGAACUUGGAGAACUGGAGUUGUCAGUCACUGCUGAAGGUACAGGAAUAGUGGAUGGUAAGUCCUUUUAACGUUUCUAAGGUUAAGCACUGCAUGUGAAAUACGGCAUCUCCUGGGAUAAGCGCCAUCUCUUUUUCCUGUGUGUAGCCAGAGGAAAAAGCUGGGUUUUUUUUUCCUGCUGGAAUUACCAACGUGGUGGCCAUUUGUGACCUGGGCUGGCUGCCUGCUGUCGCGAGGCAGUGCUCGGGCUGGGAGCCCCUGGGCAGCAGCAAGAGGAUCGGGACCGGGCUGGGAGGCACCCGCACCUAUGGGGCUGCGGGCAGCUGGGGGCAGCGGUGCUGGGGCACCGGGGGGGGCCGGUAUGAUGUGGGCUCCCAAAAUCAUAGGAGACAGCGAUCUGCAGCGUGGAGCUGCCUUGUCUGGGCUCAGCGUGAGGAACGGACUGCAGUCUGUCAGAGCAUCAAGUCGUAUGCCUGGGUAAAGUGGAUGUGGUUUAAAGUUUAGUUGCACUGUCAAUAAAACAAAAUCACACUGUUUUACAGCUGAGGAGAUUUCUCCUUAUCUGACGUGACUUCGCCGCUGCCUAGCUUCCAGCCUCACAAAUAUAUACUGCAGUUAAAUUAGCCUCCAGGAAGUUUACAGCACAUUUAUGAUAAAUAAGGAGAAGCCAGUAAACAAAAUCUUAUCUGGGGUUUUGAUUUGUUGUUUGAGAUGUAAAUUUUCAUCAGUAGGAAUGGUAUACAAGAAAAAUAUUCAUAUCACCAGUUUGGAGCAUACAGCUCUGUGUAGUAAAAAAAAAUCAAAUAGUUGCACGAUAAACAAAAUUGCGUUGGUAACACCCUUUAAAAAACUGCUCAUGUCAUGCACUGUUUGAUACUUCCUUCCUCUGGGAGAAAAAAUAUAUUAAAAAACAAAAAGCUUGUCCUACUGCCAGAGUUUCCUUUGUGUUGGUACCAGCUUCGUGCCAAGUUUGCUGUAAAACAUUAUCGUUAAUAUACAGUGCACCGAAGGAAACGUUUUUGCAAAAUGCUUCAUUAUGUUGGUAGGGAUGGAUGCUGCAAAUGCACCCUUGCUCAGCUGUGCCUUUACAUUUCUGAAUCACUUACAUCCAAAUUGUCUGUAUUUGGUAUUUCGAAUGUUUUUUCCCCUCUAGGUUAAUAUGCCACUGAUCCUCUGGAAUUAAUGUGAGUUAUUCAAUGAAGUACGCUUCUAUGAUGCGUACAUCAGCUAUAAUCCCACAGAGCACCUUUAAUCCCAUCAGGAAACAAUGGGCAAACUGCUUUGCUUCUAUUUUUAUUUUUUAAAAGAUGCUUUUUAAAAAAAAAAAAAUCUCUACAAAUAUUAAGUACAGAUAUUCCUGGUGACGCUUUGCAUGACAUACACUGGCAUUAUUUUAUAGAUAUAAUAAGUAAAAAUUCAAAAAUAUGAAUUUUCACUCUUAUGGAUGCCUUUAUCUUAAAAGUGUAAUAAAUUCGAUUGGAGUAUUUUUCUAAAAAACGUCUACCUGGCCAUAUUUUAUUACACAUUUCUGAAGGUUGUUAGAUUAGAAACCCUCCAAUAUUGAAAAUGAUCGAUAUUAUUUUAGAAAGAAAAAAUCACUGAUCUGUAUAGAAAUGUUUUGAUGUCUGUGCUGCAUAAACUGUAGAUGUGAUACCACUCCAAAUUCAAAUGAAAGAAAACAAAUUAGUGCAUUAGAGAAGUAUGCGUAAAUGAGGCAGAACUUGUGAUAAAGGGAGAGAAAAGUGUUAUAAAAUUGUGUAAUAGCACAAACAAACUUCAGUUCAAAACUAUGGCUGUUUUAGAAUGCACAUCAUUUCAAAUUAUUCAGGGAUAAUGAGUGUUAAAAGAAUUCCUCUGCUUCCUUUUUUGGACUUCCAUUUCUCUUAAGUGAAGCUUGCGAGUUAGGCUUCCCUUAAUUGCUUUCCUGAAUCCUUAUUUUGCAGAACAGCAGUAACCUUCAUUUAGACGACUUGCCAUCUUAUUUUACAGCUAUGGUGACAGAUAUGAUGUAUUUGUCUAUCUCCUUGAAGAAGGAUAAUAUACAGUGAGCGAGGCUGAGCUGCAGUUGUGUAAAUGAGAUGCACUUUUAACCCUCGAAGUGCAGCAGUUAUCCCAGUUACGAGACAGGCAGAAGCAGAGAUGAAACUCAGCUGUCUUUGCAUUUUUAUGAAUAAAAAGUGAGAAAGGGAUAGGCACAAAGAGUAACGGAAAAGGAGAACCGUAUUUUUAUAUUAAAAAUACAAUAAUAAAUAAGGUGCUGAAAAUGGUGUCUCCGAGAAAGGGCAAAAAGUCAUUGGGAGAUCCCAUUAAAUGCAAGAAAAACACUGCCAGCUAAGCUAUUCGUACAUGUGAGCCUAAGCCUUUCUUAAAACAGCGGUCUGUCUUUUAUAUUACACUGGCAUCAGAAGUUGUUGAAUGCACUAUCACUUAUAAUCUCUUAACGUUUCUCAUCUGUGCAUGUCUGCUAAAAAUAAACACUAUCACAGACGUCAUUAUUUCAAAAUAAAAAUGCAAAGUUUUUAGUGGGAUACUGCGGCUAUCUGUUGCUAAGGCUGUACUCCAGAAGUUACGCUUACUUUUACUUUCCGAGCACUCAAGAUUUAUGAACACACAUCGACAGCCCAUACACAGCAGACACAAAAGUUAUUAGAAGAAGAGUUCAGAAUUCCUAGGUAUGAUUUUACCAACAUAAAACUUUGUGGGAAAGCUGCUGCUCAAAUAUCUCGUCAGAUACAUCCUGAUAAUCUCUAGUAUGUUUUUACUGUAAUUCCCGAAAAAUAAAUAUUAAAAACGUUUUGUGGUUUCACACUAUUAAAAAAAAAAAUAGAAACUGGUAAGUGCAGACCAUAAAACAUGUAUCUGGCUUACAAAGGAACUGUUUAUUCUCCUCAGAAUGCCAGUGGUGAGCAUUUUCGUGAGAUUUGAGGCCGGAUAAAAAUGUGCAGCAGAGGUUCCCUAAAUAUGUCACUGCAGUGCAUUCACGAUGUGGCUCAGCCAGCCGUUCGGAGACCCACAUGCCACUCUGUGCUUUCUAGACUUAGCUAAUAUUGUGCAUUUUAAUAGAGCAGAUGUAAUCACAUCUACUGCGUUGUGUCUGGAGUGUCAUGUCUGAAAACAAUGAGAUGGGUUUUAAUAUACUUUAUAAUAUACAGGGGGAAAGCAUGUCCUGCUAAAUGCAGGAUACCCUGUUCUUUGUAAUUCUUGCUUGUAGCAAUUGUAUCAGGCAGAGUGCACGCAGCUCUUGGGAUGGCUGCGUUACAAGCCUACUGUAAGUAAGUCUGUCUGUCACUGUCAUUACCACAGCAGAUCACUUCAAUACUAUAUUUUUAGAAGUCAGUGAGUUUAUGUAAGAGGGAAAUGCAUCUUAAAAAAAACCUCUGUGGCUGUGAAGACCUCUUCUAUUUUUUGGAGGAACUCGCAUUUCAAAGCAGUAGGUUUGAGAGCAGCCACUAAGUGUGUGUGUGUGGGGGGGGGGGGGGGGGUGAGGAUCUGCGAGUUGCAAGGAAUAGGAACACACAUCUACUGUUUUUCCAUCUCGCUUUUUCUAUCACCUCACAAUCAAUACUUAGCGGAAUAAGACAUCAGUAUCUUUUCUUCCUCAGGAAUACUUUUUAAAGUGUUAGAAACAGCGUGGUAUUGACUUUUCCAGUGAGCUGAAACUGUCCGGCUGCGUUAAAAGUAUAUCAGGGGAGCAUCGAUAGCAUAAGCAAAAUAAAUAUUAAAUCAGGGGGACAACUACAACUUUCCUUAAGUAGCCAUGUAAUCCCUUUUUCCCUUUUUUCUGAUGGUAACGUGCUUUCCACAAAGAAGACUUCACGAGGUUGAAUCCUGCAGUCCUUUUUUUUCUUUUCUUUUUUUUUUUUUACGAAGGGCAAAGCAAAUGCUCCACAACGCUUUUUGUUAGGAAAGCACUUAAAAAAAUUUGAAUAUACCAAUAACAGAAAAAGUAUAUAUAUUUUUACUGCAACCAGGAGAUCUCAUUGGUUGAGUGAAAUGGCGAGAUGUGACGCAAAAGGACACUUGGACGGGUAGAAAUGCUGAUGUAUGCCAAAGCAGGCGUACCAAGAAAUGCUGUUGCUAUGAGAGAAACAGAGGGAGAGGGAGAUCGUGAGAGAGCAAGUUGUGGAGGCCUUCUUUUCUCCCUUUUGGCUCGCGUCACAGACUGCUACAUCUCAUUCCUAGCAGGGAGGGUUCAGCAGUCCUCGGUGGGCAUUUUCCUCGGACCCAGCAUCCAGAGGAAGGGAAGGGAGGGUUUAGCAGGUCACCUCGGAAUGCGAGAGCAAUGGGAAAGCAGGAGGGUGUAUGUGCUACACCAGCGAUCUGCGCUACGAUAGACACACAAAUUAGUACAGCAGAUGAAGCAGCUUAGCUCGUUAUCCACCUGUAUUAAGGCUCGCAACUUACAAGUUACAGAAUUAAAAUGCACGGACGCACAGAGACACAGACAGAUGUAUAGUUACAAUGCCCCCACCUUUCGGCUCAUGAAUUAUCCAGCUGGGAUAGCGCUGCCUCUUGUGUGACAUUCUUACAGAGCUGCAAUGAAUUCACCUUGUGAGUCCAUCAGCCGGAGAAGGAGGAGAAUCAUUUGCAGGACAUUUAUUUUUUUUUGCCUUUCUUCUUCGGCAAGGGGGGAAAAAAAGUUUGCGCUAUGAACUUAGCCUAGCAGCUUCUGGAACCGGAGCCAAAAGGGGCAGGAAGUUGUUUUACAAUAGCGUUACAGUGAUCUGCCACAAAUGGAAAAAGCCAAAUGUUGGACUCCGCAAAGAGAAAAAAUAUUCUUCUCUCCCUCGCCUCCAUUCUCCUGCCCCUUCAGAGGGAAAAAAAAAAAAAAAAAGUAGGAAAAGGAAGGUUUGCUAGAAGCCCUUUUCAUUUUUAAUUACUUUUGGUAAGUAAUGGAAAGAUUAUCUUACUUGCAUAUUCCAUGGCAAGCACAAGGGGAAGAAGUAUCAAAGGGACGUUUGAAAAAAACGCACUCAGUAACUAGCAACGGGACUUUUGGCACAAUUCCUCGAGUUUGCUUGAGGUUAUGGAGGGGGAUGGGAAGGAGAGGAGCGAGUCUACGCAGUACAUUUUCCUUAAAAAGGGGAGGAGGAACGGAGGCAAAACUGCAUAAAACUUUUUUUUUUUUCUUUCCCUUAAGGAAACGUGCAUUGCUCUUCUGAAGCUGAAUCCUCAGGCAUUCGUGGCCCGUCUCUGCAGCCCGAUGUGUUUUUUGUGCGUGUGUGUAAGCGCUCUCAAUCAAACAGAAAUCAUGGCAGCUGUUUUUCUUCCAGCACAGCAGUUGAGCUGUCUCGCCCAAAUGCUUAUCAGCUUUUGACUCCGUGCCAAGAUAGUUAUAAGGGCCAAGCAGCCUGCGCUUGGCUGUGCAGCUGGUGGAGGAGCGAGGGCAUGAGAAAACAGAAUCACCCAGCUUUUUUUGUCACACACACCAUCUACUUUUUUUUUUUUUCUUUUCCAAUCCCCGUUUUCAGCCCCGUGGGUCCUUCCGAGCAGCUUUUUCGCGGUCCCCGCAGCGCUUUCCUACAGGGCCGCAUCGAGAUAGGAGUCCAGCGCUCCUCGUUCUAAUCCCGGAAGAUAUUUCCAGAGGACCUUCCUUUCCUUUCCCUCCCACUCCCCCCCCUCCCGCCCCCAAUUAAAAGCUCCAUCAGCCGGCCCCGCUGCCUCUCCUCACGGCUGCUCUGUCCUCCGCGGCCCGCACGGUCCCGGGCCCUCGCUGCGGUGCGCUGUGCGCGGCCGUUCGGCAGUGCCGUGCCGCGCCGCCCUCCCAUCGCCAGCCCAGGCCCUGCGCCGCGCCAACGCGGCCUCCUCCGCCUCUCGGCUCCAGUCGCUGCGAGGGGGAGGCCGGACUCUGGAACGAGGCUGCUGCCGCCGCUUGCAUUCCUGCUGCAAGGGCCUCCCCUUCAGACGGCCUUUGCCAGAGCAGAACUUUUAAAAACGCUGUACAUAGGCGCUGCUGCUUUUUCUCCUCUUCGUCUCUCUCUCUCUCUCUCUUUCUCUCUUUACUUAACCCUCCUUUCACUGCUGAAGAACGGAUUAAUUUUCCGUCUCUUCUGCGCUUGGCUCGGCCGUACUGUAUAUCGUUGCAUUGAGGUUAAAACUCCCGAGUAUUUUCCCCUCCGCUGAUCCUUUUCUCUCCCUCUCUCUCCUCUCUCUCUUUUUUUCCUCGGUUAAGGGGAAUUGAUUUCUUUGGCCGAGCUAGUUUGUAUGCUGUGAGAACGAGGGCUUUUAUUUGUCACGUCCCCCCCCCCGCCCCCUCUCCCAGUACCGGCACACCGCGCAGCUCACGGAACGGCCGCUCGCCCUGCCUGCCUCUCUACUACAGCUCCGUUCCCGUGGCUGUAGGUGUCCGUGCCGCACGGAGCGGGGCUCCGGUUCCCCCCCCCCGCCUCCCCGAGCACUCUGCGAUGGCCGACACGGGGGUGUGCGGCGAGCGGGGGCCGUCUGCUCCCCGCGGCGGAGGGGAGAGGGAUGUGUAGCAAAACGCUGCCUCUGGGACAGGUGCCAGCUCCCAGACAAAAGGAGUGGAAUAGGCUGUAAAGAGGGAGGGCGGGGGGGGGGGGGGGGGGGGGGAAUUAAUAGCCGGCAAAAAAUAGGAGCCGCGAGCCUCGGGAGGAGCCCUGGCGGGAGCGCGCUGCCUUGCCGGCCUCUUCGCCGGGUAUUCCCGAGCUGCAGGGCGGAAGGAGAAAGUUGUGGCAUACUUUUUAUUCCUGUCUUCUCUUCAGACGUUGGAAAGCGUGAAGGGAGGGUGGAGGGCGCCUUUUUUUUUUUUCUUCUUCUUCACCCUCCUCUUACUGAAUUAUUCAUAGUGUCAGCGGUGAAGCCAGGACUAUUAGCAUGCAUCAGACAUGCUGUUUGUCUGUUUGCUAACAUUCUUCAUUCAAGACUUGUUAACUACCAGACAAGCUUAACAUGCUUCUCUCUUUCUCCUCCCCUUCUCUCUCCCUCUCUCUCCCUCCCCUCUCCCUUCCCUUCCCCUCCAUGCCACCCCUCGCAGCCUCCCAUUGUUGUCGCUGGGAGCUGGCAGCAGCUGUGGCAGGGGGAGCGUGCGGAGGAGCCGCCAGCCGCCCGCUAGUGUCUCAGCCUGGAUGUAGCCCAGAUUUGUGAAAUGCACAGCAGUAGAAUUUGAGUUUUCAAGUGAAAUAACUCUUCCUUGUCUGAACCGUCCUUCAAAAUGCGGGAUUAGAAGUUUCCUACCACAUCAUCUUCAGGACUCCCAGAAAAUUCUUCUGCAGCUUGUGGCUGCCCGGAAAAGGAUGUUGUAGUAGUCUGGCAAAAUGAACUCAAGAUGCACAAGAAGAACAUACUAGAGACUGAUCUGCAAGGUGUUCAGGUUCACUGAUAAGAUGCAAACCAGAAUCUGCCUGUUGGUUAUCUAUCCAGACAUGUUUCAGAGCUAAUAAGGGAGACUGACGAGUACCAUGACUUCAAACAGAAGCAUUUUGAGAAAUGACCUAGGGGGAGCCAAGUUACAAGAUGAACUCUAACCAAGUUAGAAGAGGAAAUAAGUGAAGAUUGGUCAUGUAUGCAAAGAAAAUGACAAGGUUUUGUCUCCCGUGGAUGCUGGCUUCACCCCAUUUUUCCCAUUGGGAUCUGCCAAACUUCAUUUCUGCCCUUGAGAGCUAGGAAGCACAGCCCAGGGUGAGAUGCUGCUGCUGCUCCCACAGCUGUCCAUGUCACGCCCGGCAGCCAUCUUAGGCUGGACAGAAAGCCCUGGCCAGCACAGCAAAUCAGCUGGUUAGGGGUACCCCCUGGGCUGAGGUGUGAUGGGAUAACAACAACGGAAAGAGAAAUCUGGUGCUGUGAAUGGCCCUCUGAGAAAAUUGAUUAUGCUAUGAGCAGUGGAAGAUCCCAUCGGUUGCUCUGAAACGUGACCUACCUACUUUGAGGUGAGAUCUGUUUUGUUGUAAAGCAUGGCUUUAGUUUUUCUGUGUGUAUCAUGGAUUCUUGUCUUUAAUUUGCAGUUAACAACAACAAAAAAAAAGUUUUCCUUAGUGAAGAGAAGGCUCCGGGGAGACCUCAUAGUGUCCUUCCAAUACUUGAAGGGAGUACCCCUGUUUACAGGGGUAGAUAGUGAUAGGGCAAGGGGAAAUGGUCUUAAACUGAGACAGGGGAGGUUUAGGUUAGAUAUUAGGAGGAAGUGUUUCACACAGAGGGUGGUGAUGCACUGGAACAGGUUGUCCAAGGAGGCUGUGGAUUCCCCAUCCCUGGAAGCAUUCAAGCCUGGUCUGGUGGCUGGCGACCCUGCAUAUAGCAGGGGGGGUGAAACUAGAUGAUCUUUGAGGUCCUUUUCAACCUAGGCCAUUCUAUGAUUCAGUGAUUCUAAGUUAGCUUAUUAAGUUGGAGUAUUUGUUUGAAAUUUUAUUUGUUUAUAUUACAGGUAUGGACUGAUAUCAUAGUUUUUGUCACUUAUUUGGAUUUUCCCUGAGUGCGAUGUGUUGCAGUCCAUCAGACCAGGUGGUGGGGAGUGAGAGCACCCUCAACCUCUAGUGUUGGUGUGAGGUUACAGUACACUAGUGGCAAUUUUGCUAGUCAUAUUAACCAACGUCUGUGUAGUACAGUAGAGUACAUUUAGUUUAGCCAUUGAUUCAGUUGUGAGGUACUGUCCUUUAGAAGUAGCAUGUUGCUUAAGUAAGCCAUAACACUUUCUGACAGUCACCAAAUUCUUGGUUCAGUCUUAUAGAUUUACCCAUGCAGAACUUGGGAAAGUCAGUAAGAGCAACUGAGCUGUUCCGCACUAGGAUAAGAGAGGAAUACCUAGAAGGCAAUGCAGAACAAAUCCCUCUAAUUCAGCAUUUAUUCUCUAAGUCACUGUGAUGCCUUUCUUGAAGUGACAAAACUGGUUUGUUAAGAUGCAGUCGUGUCAGAGCUGGAAGUACAAAAGUGCAUUUAUUAAAAAUGAAUUCUGUAUCCUCUUCCCUCUUGUGUAUCUUGUCACUGACAUGACUCCACACAUUGCAAAUAUGUGAAACUUUUAAAACAUGAAACUAGAGCUCAUUAAGCAAAAUGUCAACUGGUGUAUAGCAAACUCUUUCAGAAUGAAGACUGAUAAUAUUUGUCUCCAGAGUUUUUUGUCUUCUAGGUCAUCACCAAGCCAUCCAGCUUUCUGGGAAUAUAGUUUGUGGUUUCUGUGAUCGGAGUCUGACUGUCCUUUGGGGUGAGGUAGUAGGUUGUAUAGUUUUAGGGUUAUGCCCUGCCUGUCAGAUAACUAUACAAUCUACUGUCUUUCCUGAAGUGGCUGUGAUAUCAUCGCUGGAUAUGCCUUCAAAAUGCAAAGCAAAUAUAUUUCAACUGUAACAUUCUCUGGCUCUGUCUUACGUGUUGGUUUUGAUUCUUACAAAAGAAAUGUUCUCAGAGUGUUUCAAUUCCUCUAUCGUUUGGAUUGGAAAGCGAUUUCCUUUUUUUCAUCUUCUCCGAGAAAGCGGGGUGUGAGAGGGCCCAGAGGUACAACCUAUGCUUAUGCUCAACUUUCUCCAUCUGCCAGUGUGCUCUCAAGAGUGGCCAUUUGGAAAAAGGUGAUCCAUUUCUUCAUUGCUUUGUGGCAUUCGUGUUAUACCAAUGGCAAGUGCCACUUCUUCAGCAGUUAUGUAAAUCCACCUAGCGUAAUUUGUUUGAGGAAACUAACAAGUGAUGACUUGGAUAGUAAUACAAAGAGGAUGUCUCAUUUUCUGCCCUGGAACCAGUAAAUGCUUGACCCCUAAGUGAAGAGAUUUUUUUUAGUCAGUUUUUGAAUUGUGACUUAAUAUAUGUUUUAUUACAUAAUGCAAAUUUGGGAAGGAGAGUGCUUUCCACUGCAGUUGUUCUGCCUGUAGAGUCACCCCACCAAUUCUGAUGGACUUCCAGGAAGAAAUCUGAGGAAGGGCUGACAGGACGUAAUGAUGCCCUUUUUGAAAGUAAGAAAUGUGGGCUAGAAAGUGUGUAGGGAAUCUUACUUAUGGUAGGUGAAAUGUUAGUUUGCUUCAGAAGAUCCGCCUGAUGCUCUAACAGGAUGAGGUAGUAGGUUGUGUGGUUUCAGGGUAGUGAUUUUGCCCCAAUCAGGAGAUAACUAUACAACCUACUGCCUUCCCUGAUAGGCAGCGUAACAUCAGUGUCUUAAUUCACAGAAAACCAAGGGCUAAAAUAGACAUUUGUGACCAGCAAAGUAAGUCUACAUUCAAUUCUUGUUACCCUGUCCCUAAUACCUCUAACUUCAGUGUCUGGCAUUAUUUUUAAUAACUGCCUACAAAAUAAUUAUCUCUUUUAAAGUCUCUAUAGGGAAAAAUUUGAAUUAAAAAAAGUUUUGCUAUUCAAAAGUUUGUCUGUUCUUGAUUUGUUUUGUUUCUGGUUCAUUUCAGAGGAAUGAAAUUUUCAGGGAAAUGAUUCCAAAAAUGCUGUGGACUUGCAUUCAAGCUGUUCAUAUUUCCUGGGCAUUUUAGCUCGAAUGCAACAAAUUUUACUAGCAGUGCACUGUUUUUGUUCAGCCCUCUGUCCCUCUCAGGAAUCUUCCUGUCUUUUACAAAUAAUUGUCACGCAACGCUCUCCAGCGGAUCAAUUUUAUAAUGCAAAUAAAAAGCUGUGGUGAUGAAAAUCAGGGGCCGGAUUGAAAAGACAAAGACAGACAUUGAUUUUGUAUCAGCACUUGCUCAUAAGCAGUCUCAUUUCAUGGCGUUUAAACAGUCCUGAAAGUGAAUUUGCUGACUAUCUAAAAGGCACAGAUUGUACCUGGAAAAUCAUGGCCAGGGAAUGUUAGUUGAGUCCAUUAAAGACAUUCUGAAAUACAAACUAUAGUCUUAAUGCAAGAGGAAAAAAAGAAAGAAAAAAAAAAGAGAAAAACCACCCCAACUGUGGAAAUCAUUCUUCUACAUGCAAAACAUUUCGGGAAAUGAGAAUGAUGUAAAACUGAAGGAUAACUUAAUUUCAGAGGUUUCAAGCUGGUUACAUAGAGUCAUUUGUGUGUAUUUUAAUUAUACAGCAUCUGAUUACUGUAAAAUGGAAUAUAAAUUUAAGGUUGUCAUAUGUGUAGCUAGGCAAGCCCAGACAUCCAUGGUUAGAGCAAAUAAACUGAUACUACAUUCAGCAGCAGAACUGGGUAUUUCAUUGCUUCUCUUGUCCAAAAAUAUGGCACGUAUCUGGACGCUGAGGGUUUUUGAGGUCAAUGAAUGCUUCAAAACAAGGCCAUUUGUUAAUACCUUUGUUAAACAGUUAGGAAUGUUAUUUAACUUGUGUUCAUAGAGAUAAAGGCAGCUGGUAGAAGAAGAAAAAUUACUCUGUGUCUGAAAAACUCAGGAGAGUAGGCGAUAAUGUGGCUGGUUUUAAUCUUCUCACUGUUUAAAGAGGGUCUCUUAAAAAAAAAGAUAAAACUGCUGUAAGGAUAGUUGCCAUGCUGGCCAUGUUCAAUGGCUCUCGGUCAUGCAUUGCGAAUCCUGAACUCUUUCUUCUGCUGGAAAUGCAGGCCCACAGCUGCAGCAGAAACAUCUUAGAGGACUGUGAGUAGUGAUUGCGCUGUGUGAAGCUUAAAACAUGCUGCUCCUCUCCAAGAUGCAAAACUGGCUGGAAAUUUCUUGCUUAGUUUUACAUUCAGUACAUACGUAGCAAAUGUUCCAUACCGGUGAAAGGCGUAAGAAGAGGGAAAAUGUUCUCCACAUUCUACCACAGCCUGUUAGAUCUCAUCCCUGAAGUCAUUUUAAAGUCUUCUGGCUCUGUCUGGAUCAGCGUUGUGUUCUUGGUAAUGAGCUGUGAGUUUUCAGAUUCUGGUCAUCCUGGCAAUCCUAUUAAAACAAAGGGCCAAAAAAAAAAAUCCAUGGUGUUUGCUUCACUAGGUUCUACAUGUGCCUGUACUUAGCAGUGUGUGAGCCUGCAGUUAAUCAGGUCUGUCCCUAGCAGUAGGUGUCAUUACAGCUAAUGGGAACUGCAACAGAAACUUGAAAGCACAGCUCCAUGGUGCCAGAUGUUUUUCAGAAUUGUAUACAGAAAAUGCUUGUGUCAAAACAGAAGUAGUAGCUUCAGCUGGAAUUCUUAUUAAAAGCAAGGGUGUUUUUUUAAACACAAGACAGUAUUAGUUCUUUCUGAGGUCAUGCACUGCUCUGUGGCACUCAUUAGGUGAAAGCAUGCAAUCAUAAGCUACGUAACAUGCGAUUUUAAAACCUAUGUGUGCUUAAGUUUGUUAUUUUGGGUUUUUUUUUAGUGUAACAGCACUAACUGAUGAGCAGAAGCUGAGUAUCUCCUGCUGGAACGAAGCCUGUACACUUGGUUAUAGCAGACCAGGUGAAAAUCAGUGCACGCAGGACUUUCGGUGAGGCCAGGAUUUUCAUAGAAUCAUAGAAUGAAUCAUAGAAUGGCCUGGGUUGAAAAGGGCCACAAUGGCCAUCUGGUUUUAGCCCCUCAGCUAUGUGCAGGGUCACCAGCCACUAGACCAGGCCUCCCAGAGCCACGUCCAGCCUGGCUUGGACUGCAUCCAGGGACGGGUAUCCACAACAUCCUUGGGCAGGUGGUGUUAGUUCUCCUUUUCUGCCUUGGAGAGGGUGUGUUUUUCCUGAGACAAGAUCAGUCACACAGACAAUAAAACCAUCAAUCAAAUUUCUGCCUUGAAGGCUACUGCUCACAGGUUUUAUAUUUCUGCCUCAUGGAUGUGUGGAACAUUACACAUCUUCUAUGAGCCCUUUCAACGUGUGCUGUGUUUUUCAGUUUUACUUUAACAUGCAAAUCUCCCUAUUCUCCUAAAACAAGUGCCCAACACGAAAUUUUUGUCUCAAUUUGAUAAAAGACUAAAAGAGAUGAAAAUGUUUUCAGACCAGCUGGAUAACUCUGGCAAAAGUGUGUGCUGCUAGCUGCAAAAACUUGCACUGCUGCUGUGCAUGGGUGCCACGAGGUGCGCGCUGCGAGGCUGUACCCUUGGGGCUGCCCUGAGAGGGCAAAAGCCUUGAAGACAGAAGUAGUUCCUGAGAUCUUCCCUGAAAGGGUGAAUUACAAAGGAGAUUUAUAUAGGGAGUGGAUGCAGAAAUGCAGUAAGACCAUAGCGGGUAUGCCAGCCGGUGUUACAGAUUCAGCAUGACAUACCGAAUUGCUAUACAGGAGUCAGAGAGAGCUGGUGAAAAAUGCCCGCCUUCCUUAUGCUUGCAGAGCUUCCCCACCUGCUCCUAGGACUGUGCUUCAAACAGGGGACAAGUAUUAAAUGAGAACUAAAUUUCUAGGAGUCAUCUGUGAUAAUACACACCGUUCUGAGAACUGAAGGUCUGAAUGUAUCUUAAUUACCGUGAGUGUGACUGUGCACAGCAGUUACCUUAGAGAUGUCACAGCAAAAAGCUGUUUGGGCUUGGAGAUUUUCUGUAACUAAUGCUAUACAGUUCUCAGAAUAUAAAUACAUGCUAAUUAUGGGAAUAAUGGUAGUAAAGAUUACUAAAGGAAUCAUUUCUGUUGUGGAAUACAUAAGCAAAUCAAAGGUGGGAAAGUGUGGGAGGGACAAAAGCCAAGUAUCACCAGCUCUAUCUGGCAGAGAGGGGCGGUGUUGCACAGCCUCCAGUCAUGGCCAUGAGCUCCUGGUUGCACUCAAACACACUGUCCUUUGCAGUGCUUGAGCCCAUGGGAGGGCCCAGGUCCGUAGCUGUGCUGGCAUGGCUCUGAUGAGCGUGGCUCUAAGUGAUCUGAGGGGGUACCCAGCUAACAGCUUGAAGUAGAAAAACUGAGGGAUAGGAGAUGUGAAGAUACCUACAGGGAUCUAGGGCUGAGUGACUUAGAUGUCCAGAUCAUAGAUGAAAAAUCAGUGCUAGCACUGCUAAAAAGGCAAGACAAAGGCAUCAAAUAAACUAGGCCAAAUGUCCCUCUGAUUGUCAACUAGAUCUGUGUUCCUAAGUUACUUUGGCACUUUUGUUUAACAGUUAUGAUUGCCAGUUGUGCUCAGUAUUUGAUCAUAGGAAGGCUUUUGUCUGGUUGUGGAACACUGCUCAAGCACUGUCUCCGGCACAAAUCAAAACCAGAUGAGUCACCAGGUUAAGAGACAACCAAGUUGUAACCACGUUGCCUGAUGUGGCUUAUUUUUGUGUUCCAGCCAGGGCCUGAAGCUCUUACUAGAGAUUUUCCCUGUCCAGCUUGCAUAUUCAAACGUAAGCAAUCAUAGUUCCAUCCUUGGGGAGCCCAAGUGGGUUUUCCCAAUGCAUACAAAGGCAUUAGCCUGUUAAAAAGGUCUCUCAAUCAACUGAAAGUGUGCAGCAGUUUGCAUAUUAGUGCGUGUUUUUAAUUAACACUUGGAAGAGAGAAAUACUUGAUGCACUUAAAAGUGACACAAAUAAAAGCACCUUUCAUAUAUUCUCAUUGUAAACAUCUAAAGUGAAAAUAAAGUAAUUUCUGAUCUCAUGGAAGGCAGUUGGUAUUUACAGAUUUAUUUAUAGAUUUAUAUAGGUAUUUAGUUAUAGAUUUAUACAGGUAUUUAUAGAUCAUUCCAAAAGUAAGGCCUCCUAUUUAUUUCCAUGGAUAGAACAAUAGAACUGUUUGAUAAGAGCAAAUUCUCAGCUACAAAACACUAUCUUUCAAUAUAGUCAUAACCAUUAGCUAUGCAUUUUCAUCAGCGAUGAACAAGAGCCUUUAUGUUGUGUUCAUAAAAACCUCCACCAGUGGAGGUGACCCACUGUUUCACAGCUGCUGUGAAGGUGUUGUAGCUAGGAAAAUGUUGCCCAUGCAAUCCAUCUUUCAUCAGAGCAAACAGAUGGAAUUCAGAAGGUACCAAAUCUGGACUGUGCUGUGAGCAUGGUAGGACAGCCUAGGCACGACUGGCAGUGUGCUGCACAGUCUUCCAACUGGGGUUAUAGUCUUAACAGUGUUGCAAGAUAAAGAUCGUUUUCUCUGGCCUGACUUUGGAAAUUCAGGCCUUCAGCUUAGUCAGCGUCACAGUGUAGGAGGCAGUGUUGAUGGUGGGUCAGUGUUCCAGGAAAUCCAGAAGGAUCACCCGUUUCCUAUCCCAGAUAGUGUACAUCACUUUGCCCGCUGAGGGCUGCAUCUUGACCUUUUUCUUUGAUGGGGGAUUUGCAUGUCACCAAUCCGUAGAAUGCUGUUUUGACUACUGUUAGCACUAUGUCCUGUCACCAGUGAGGAUGCAAUCCAGGCAACUGUCACCUUUGGCGGUGUGUUGGUUCAAUGGGUCCUGAAAAACUUGCAUACGGUGUUAUUUCUGUUCCUGUCUGAGUAUUUGUGGGACUCACCUGGCUCAAACUUUGCAGUGUUCCAACAUUGCCACCAUUGUUUCCUACACAUUAAAGUUGAUAUUCAGCUCCAUACACAGUUCCCUGAUCAUAAUCUGCCAAUGGACCUGGAUGAGCUGAUGGAAAUGCUCUUCAUUUCGUGGUGUGACAGAUAUGCAUGGCCAUCCAGAAUGUGCCUUUCUUUCAUGUCACUGUCACCACUGCUGAAAUGCACCACCCACCGCCUCAAUGUGCUCAUACUCACCGUUUGGUCUCCAGAAACAUUCACCAAGUGUCAGUGAAUGUCAAUGGGUGCCAUUUUUCUACAUGGAGGAAUACAAUGACACACCUUUGCUUCAGAUGUACUUCCAUGUCAGAUGCCAUUAUGGCUGACUACUCCUCUGCUGUCAUCUGUCACAUGGUAACAAAAUGUAAUGGAAUACUGGCAGGAAGGUUCAACCUCUACUGCCGAACCACCAACAUCCACCACUGAUUUCAUGGUCCAACAUAAUAGAAGGGGAGGCAUUACUGUUGGAACAGCUCUGGUAGCUUUUGUGAAAACUGGCAGCUUAAUCUUUUUUCUGUCACACACCUGGACAGGUUUUUCAACCAUCUCAAUUUUGCUGAUGAAAACAUUUCACUUCUUGUGAGACUGUGGAGAGCAAACCCUGGCUUGCUGCACCCCAUGGCCUGGAAGCUCCAGGCCCAUCUCAGCCGUCACAGCCUCUUCUGAGCAGGUGACUCCCAAGUGGCCAUUACACGCUUAUCUCUCUGGAUUUAACCUGAACUUGGUACCUUCUACAUCUGCUAAAAAGCUGCCCUAUGAGCUUGACCAAUGGGGUUCCAGCAACCACUACUUGAAAAUCAGUUUGGAAUCCCAUAGGUCCUAUUCUUAUUUAGCCUUGGCUUGCUGUUGCAUCACAGUGACCUCCACUGUGGCUAGAAAUGCGAGACAUAGACUAAUAAUUUCUUUCUCUCCUGAAGUUUCAACAUGUCCAAAACCUUUGGUUAUAUUUUCUUUUCUUUUUUUUUUUUUUUUACCAUUUUACCACAAGUAAAAUACAGUGAUUGAUGGCCCAGAGUUUAGUGAUUUAACUUUUGUUUCUUCAGAAAAUCUCACUGACAUUUUGAAGUUCGAAUGGACAAAUUAGUUUCCACUUCAUUCCCCUUUGCAUUUCAUUAGCUUUCCCAAAACUUAAGAAAUUUUCAGGCCUUCCGUUGUAGCAAAAUGAGAACUUUAAAAUUCAUUAAGCCUUAGAUAUUCAGUAUGCUGUACCAAGUGACAGAAAAGGAAAUAAGAAAAGUGAUCAUUCCCAAGUUUCAUUAAAAUUUGUGCAGAAAGAGAAUAUCCUUCAGAAGUGUUCCACGCUUGAAAGAAGAUUUUCCAUAUUAAAGCAAAGGAGAAUGUGUUACCCAGUGUAUGGCGCUGUGUCUGUCACUCAAGCUAGUCCAAGUUUCUAAUGAUUGAGCUGUGUGUGUUACUUUGAGUAAGUGAACGCAAAAUAAGGAACAGUUGUUUCUAAUGUGAAGCUAAAACAGCUACAGAAAGUACCCUCAACUGGAAAUCGUGUGUUCCUGUGUUCAGCUCCUUGAACUCUGCCAAAUAUGUGCAGCUGGAAGAAAAGAAGUGGUUUGACUGUCCGUGAGCCAAAACACAUGGUGGUUAGUUUGUGCGGGUGAUGCCAAGUGGAGGUAAGCAUGUUGGAGCACAUGAAGGGAACAGGGCAGGAGCUGGUUUCGGCCUGCUGUUGCACACUGAGCACAGCGCUCCGGCGUCAAGCAGCAGCAGGCCUCAUUCAGCAGCCUCUUUCCACCAAAGUAAGCAAUGGGACGAGGUGCACAUUUUCCCAAUAUUUGAAACGUUCUUUGGUCCUGCUUAGCUGCACACUGUGCUUUCUGUCACAAAAAAAUAAUAAAAACACUCCGAAUGUGGUGGUCGUUACUGCAAUCCCAAUGCAAUCUAACUUCACUCGCCUCAUGAGGUCUCUCCUCCGAUCGUAGUGAAUUUGUGAGGGAUCAGCAGAGGGAGAGGACCCUCAGAAGGGAGGAGAAGGCUGGCAGUGCUGUGCUGUUACUGAUGUGGGAGAAGCAGCACAGGGAGCUGAGUUUGCAGUUUGAUCCCUGUCCCUAAAUACUACUGGAAGUGGGCAGACCCAGAAGCAAAUUGCUCUCCAGCAAACACCAUUGAGCUGCUGGUGACAAUCCUAAGCAGUGGCCAUCCUGAUAUUGCUUGGUUCUGGGUGGGCCUUGUCCAAGCUUCACAACGCUGAGCACAGCCUCAUAGUACUUGAUGGAAAACACCACUGGUAAGAAAAAUAGAAGGGAACUAUGAGUGAUAAGGAAUGUCCUCUAAUCCCUUUUAGGCUUUUGUUGGAAAUUACAUGGCCGCCUCUUAUGCCUACGACUCUUCCAGGCAUCUACCCAUCCGCAUCCCUCAAACACACCCAUCCUUCUUCCCCUGCCUCCAGCAUGACACCUCUAAUUCACCCCCUUCCCUAAAAUCCAGUUAGCUGUGAUUCUAUUUUAUCUUCUUCGUGAUGAGCCCCAAGCUUUGCAGCAGGAAGGCAGGCUGCAGUAGGUGGGCACGCUCCAGUAACAGGGCUGUCACUGCAGCAGGGCCGAGGGUGGAUGGAGGAUGGAGGAAGAUGGAGACUGCUCUCACCUCAGCCUCCGGUCCUACUUCUCCCAGCCGAAGCUCCACCAUGCUGAUUUACGACUGCUCCUGAAUGCCUUGGAUGGAAUUAUAGCCCCUUGUAUUACAUAGUGCCUUCUCUGUUACUCUUGCUGCACGCCAUAGAUUUACGGUGGCUUUUAAACCAGACAGUGCAUGAAGAAAUACAAUCUUAACAAAACAUAGAAGGGACCAAGGGAGGUCAAAGUGUGGGAGCUGAACACCCUGUGGUGAUCCAGGAUUUCCCUUUAUUUACAGCUCACACCUUUUCAAUUUCAAGUGGAUUUUGGCUGUCUCUGACAGCUCUAACCAAUGGCUGGGGAGGAAUCUGCAGUCAGCUGUGCUGAGAGGCUUUGCCAUUAACAGGUUAACCAUAUCCUGCAUUUUCUGUACUUUUGAUGCUGAAGGAAAAUAAUUUAUGAUAGGCUUUCAUAGAGAAGUGGAGCAAAAGCUGUGCCUGACUUCCUCAAUAUGAUGGUGUGACAAGAAAACUAAUGCUGAAAGACAUCCAGCAGUCCAAAUGUGCACCUGCUCCUGCUAGCUUCCAGAGCAAAUGCUGUCUCCAAUUCUCUGAUAUAUUGCACUGCAAGCUCUUCCUAAAGCACAGGAAGUCAGACCAGAUCAGGCCUUGGAUGCUCCUUGGAAAUUUCACUGGCCGAUCGUCCACAUCUGAAGUACCUUAUCUUUGGAGAUCUGGACUCUAAUGGGGCAUAAGACAGGAAUCAGAACUGAUGGCCAACAAGAAACUGUUCUACCACGUGCAAUGCCUCAAUGUGUUGCCCUAGAAAGCUGAGGCUCAGGUCUUCUCCUGAGAUACAUGGUAUCCUCCAGAAUGGUAUUGAAGGAAUGGUGAGUGAUGUAAUAUUUGAGGAAGGGGAGAUGUGUGUCCUUCUGGAAUCCUCUUGUUCUCCACCUCUGUGUUUUCCAACCAAUUACUUAAUUCCUCAUACUGUGUCCUCACAGUAUGUGCUACAAAUGGUGACAUCAAAACCAAUAUAUUUUGCAAAUGCUAACAUUGCAGCAGGCUUUGCAGAAUAAUGGCUAUAUCAAUCCUUACUUAUAGUGUACUUUGAAUAUAGUGUCAUUAGUAACAGAACAUCUGUCAAAACCUCUCACAGUCUGAACAUGCUACCUCCUAUUUUUUUCAAUAUUAUGAUUGUAUUUCAUCAGUAGAUCCUAUGUAUUUGCUAAGUGGAGUUUCACUCAGUUCAGUCUUUGAUUGUUCAUGACGUGGAGAAGGUGAACAGGGAACAACUGUGUCUUGCCUCAUGUAGCAAGAGACCUAGGGAAUGGCAGGUUCAAAAUGCUCAAAAAGAGAUUUUUCUUCACAAGCUCUUAUGAUUAAGUAGUGGAGAUACUCCUUUCUGUUGAGUACACCAUGGUCCUCCCUGGCAAGGUCAACAGCAGCAGCUUAAAGAGCAGUGUGAGAGAGAGAUGUAUGUAAAUGGCUGCAGCAGGUGUAGCACUCCUGUCUCAGCUCAGGAUGGCUCCUCCAAGGGUUAGAGGCUAAUUUUGAGAAGAGGCUUUUUCAUUUUAAUUUGAAAGUUGUGAAAGGCUUUUGCAUGGUAGGAGCUCUAUCUCAAAAGAGCUUCUUCAGGAAACUCUACGGCACUUGUGUUUGUUUAGGUGCUUUUCCUUUUGAUAUGGUUGUUUUGCAGUAGUGACUUGGCUGGAAAAGAGGGUUUUUGGAGGUGAAUGUGGUGAGGAUAAAUCUCAAAGCUACCGCAAUUUGGGAGGCAUCCCUACUUUGUUUAGGAAAUAGACUUGCAACUAAAGGCCAUCUCGAGUUGACAGCAGACUUUGCGAGGGGUGAAAGUCCCUUGUACAGUGUGCUUCUGUACCUGUAAAAAAUCGGGUGCUUGAUUUACACAAGAGUCAUGAAGAUGUUCCUCUGGUUCUGUACUUUCCAUCAGGAGCCUCUUGUCCUUGCACUUGUUUUGUGCAGUCUAUUACAACAAUUCCAGUGGGACACAUAAUUCAGAUUCUGUAAUAGAAUGAAUGCACAGAGUCAUUGCUUAAACUGUACUGCAGCAGCACUUCUUGCUGCUGCUAUGUACAUUUAAUAACAAAAGGUCAAAAUACUGCAUCAACAUAGAAAGAGUCAUUUGAUCUCUUUAUCUGUAGAACAGGGAUAAUAUUCUUUGCUUAUGUUCCAAGACUUGCUGCAAAUUUGAGGACAGAAAAACUGAAGAUUUUCUUUAGUAUUGCUAAGAUAGAUUGUGAUGACUGUCAGAUACUGGUUAAACUGGAGGGGCUGAGCUUUUUAUUCCUGCUUUUGCUGUAUACCUGACAGUUGGAGGUGAAUGCAGCCUUUUGUUUCCUACACAACAAAAGGUUCAAAUAUAAACCAUGCUACUGAUAAAAUAAGAACAGAAAUUGCGGGUCAGUUCUAAACUUGGAAAAUGCUCGGGGUUUUUUUUGUUUUUGUGCUGGUAAAUCUACAUUCUCAUCAUGUGGAAAAAAACCAGACUCUUAAUACAGCUUUAGUUUUCUACUUUAUAGCUACAAGCAGAAAACAGCCAUGAAUCAAUAACGGGGGCCUGUAAACACUCUUCUGGCUCUAUAGCCUACUUAAUGUCAACCAAGAGCUGCAGUAAACCACAAUUCCCCAGCUGCAAUAAAUGCUACAGGCUCCAGAGCAGAGCACAAAGUUUAAUUAAAAGUAAUCUGAUACAUAUAAAUCCGCUGACGCAAUCUCUCACUCUUGCAUCUGAAAUAUAUAUAAGGCUCUUCCUGGAGACAUUGGAUGAUUUAGACUUCAAUUUCACUUAAGAAGCCUCUCACAUAAUACUAUCCAGUGAGUCUCUGUGCACACAGCAUAAAGACAUCCUGUUAACUAAAUGCAUUGAUCUCCCUUUGCUUUACAUGCCGAGUGUAUCAGCUGUUGAGUUAUUUGGCUAAUUUAAGAGACUUGGCAACAUUUUCCCGUGCUCUAAAUAGCCAGACAUCUCUGAACUUUCAGGAGUAACUACACUUGGCAAUUAAUGGAUAAUGACAACACUGCUGUAAUGUAUUAUCUUUUGGCAAUAAGUAAGCUCAGCAGUUUUGAGGAUGUCUCACUAAUGCUUUAGCAUCAGACAGACUCUGCUCAUGUUAGCUGUGUUUGACAAGAUGUUCUGUUGAUGUUUAAUGAUACACAGCCCCUUGCUGAUUUGCGUCCUGAGUCUGUCCUGGCUCUGCACACAUCGUCCUUCUCUCCUCCCCGUGCACCGUGGCUGCCUUAUGGAAUCACAGUAAAGUCUGGGUCAGACAUCCUCUCUGGAGAUCACCCGGUCCAAACCACAGAAACAGAGACUUAGGUUAGGUCAUCCUGGAUACUGUCCAGCAAAGUCUAGGAUAUUUCCAGUGAGAAAAGUGCACACCUUUGUUAUCUGAGGAUGCAAAAGAGUCCCGUUCGCGCCUCAUGCUAUAGUCCUGGCACUGAUGGUGUCUCUGGACUAACAGUAUAUUCAUGCUAAUUUUUCUGAAACUAGAAAAGGCAGAGGAUGACAACUGCUAUGGGACCUGGGAACAACACUUAAGGCUUAGAUGGCUUUCCUUUCUCAGCACUUUUUCCUCAGAAAAUAAAAGCAUCUAAAAAUAAAUAUUUGUUUUUAAAAUAAAUAAAUAUAUAUAUCUAAAGACACUAAUGAGUCCUGUCAUAAAGUGUAUUAAAGCAGUAUUCUAAAGGCA